UGUAGUCUGGCCGGAGGCUUCUGGCCCCUGACCUGACGUGCUCCUUGGAGUCAAAGGUGAUACCACCCUCCAAGAAGGCAUCGGGACACGAGUCUGAGAGUGACUUUGGCUACACUGGGAGACAACACCAGAAACUUCAAAUUGGAGGCCCCUGGAAGCAAUAAAGCCUAAGUCAAAUGGCUUCCUGACCAUGAGGAGGGAACCUCGAGGUUCCCAGAGGACUUCUGACGCUUCGAGAAAGCUGGGAAAGAAAAGCAGAGGGGGCUUCCAGAGCAAGAGGCAUUUAGGGGAACUGGAGAGCAAAAAUGCUGUCCCAGGUUCUGUAGAGAAGCGCUGUACUCUCUGUGUCUAGAAGUGAAGGUUCAAACCCAGAACCUGUGGACACGAACAAGUACUCCACCCCUGCCUGAUUUACACUCUGCUCAAAACUGUUCGUUUCUUACAGCAGAAUCUCACUGCGUUGUCUUGGCUGGUCAAACUCAAGCUCACACUAGCCGAUUACUUCAGCUCCCUGGCCCCUGAAACUGGAACACCAUUGCAGUCAGCCGACAGGUGUUUGUAGACAGCAUGAGGUCCUUGUGGUCACAGAUUAAACAAUAGGGAAACCAGGAGUGUUAAACAUGAAGGGUUGUCUCCUC
rnacentral:lncRNA from 1 species